AACGCUAGCUACAGGCUUAACACAUGCAAGUCGAGGGGAAACGAUAGAGAAAGCUUGCUUUUUCUAGGCGUCGACCGGCGCACGGGUGAGUAACGCGUAUCCAACCUGCCCACCACUUGGGGAUAACCUUGCGAAAGUAAGACUAAUACCCAAUGACGUCUCUAGAAGACAUCUGAAAGGGAUUAAAGAUUUAUCGGUGGUGGAUGGGGAUGCGUCUGAUUAGCUUGUUGGCGGGGUAACGGCCCACCAAGGCAACGAUCAGUAGGGGUUCUGAGAGGAAGGUCCCCCACAUUGGAACUGAGACACGGUCCAAACUCCUACGGGAGGCAGCAGUGAGGAAUAUUGGUCAAUGGGCGAGAGCCUGAACCAGCCAAGUAGCGUGCAGGAUGACGGCCCUAUGGGUUGUAAACUGCUUUUAUAAGGGAAUAAAGUGAGCCUCGUGAGGCUUUUUGCAUGUACCUUAUGAAUAAGGACCGGCUAAUUCCGUGCCAGCAGCCGCGGUAAUACGGAAGGUCCGGGCGUUAUCCGGAUUUAUUGGGUUUAAAGGGAGCGUAGGCCGGAGAUUAAGCGUGUUGUGAAAUGUAGAUGCUCAACAUCUGCACCGCAGCGCGAACUGGUUUCCUUGAGUACGCACAAAGUGGGCGGAAUUCGUGGUGUAGCGGUGAAAUGCUUAGAUAUCACGAAGAACUCCGAUUG
rnacentral:rRNA from 1 species